rnacentral:tRNA from 1 species
CCAGCCCGUGGUCGACGCCGGCGGCGGUCUCGUCGUCGACGACGGCGACCUCUCACCUCGGUUCGUCGCCGACACGCUGGUCC